GUCCACAACAACCAGUGUAGUGUUGCUAGCAAGAGCAGGGAAGUAAUUGUACCUUUGUACUCAACACUGGUGAGGCCACACCUUGAGUACUGUGUUCAGUUUUUGACCCCUCACUGCAAGAAAGGCAUCGAGGCCCUGGAGUGUGUGCAGAGAAGGGCAACUAAGCCGCAACAAGGCCAUCACAGCAUCUAUGAAAGAGUGGAUCACCUCAAACAGUGCAGAUUUUUCAGAAGCAUGGCAUGCAGUCUGGUGCUCAUAACUGGUGAAAAUACAUAGCUAAUGAUGGGCAGAAAAUACAAUAUGCUGAGUUGCUGCUGCUGGAGAAGUGGAAAAAAAUCACCUAUGUGGAAAAAGCUAUCUAGCAUGGGUACAGUUUGGAAGUGCCAUAAGAGGAACGUGUGUUGGCAAAAAAUGAUUCUGCCUGCUAUGGACCAUAUGUGCAUUUAAUUGAGUUUGCAAGUUUCCAGGCAGAAUGCCAAAUGGACAGUCUACCAUCUGAUAAGAGUGGUAAAGUUUUCCCCUUUUGUUCUCUCACAAGCUUUAGGUUCAUACAGAAUCUGAGAAGUCAAAAAAUCUGUACUUUCCCGGGACUGAUACUGGAAUGUGUAAGUCAGCUAAUAAAUAUGUUAGAAAAGACCAGUAUAUCAGAUUUACUUAGAAGCUAUGACUUUAAUUGUAAUACUGAAAAUUAAAUAAAAAAUAUAAAUGUGCCACUCCAGCAGAAUUAUCUGAGUCACAAUUAUCUCUUUGGCUUCCUCUUUUUCUCUAUGAACAGGGAGAUAAAUGAAGUGACUUUCAUGUAUAAGCUACAGGAGCUAGAGUAGGCUCAAAUAAAAAUAAUUAGGUGGGAGAUUUCGCAAAACCAAAGCAGGGUUUGAGGCUGUGUUUGAUCAGGUGCUGCCAGCUAGUUUCCAAAUCCUAAUGUGGCCUGCAACCCCAUGUUCAAGCCAUUAUUAUAUGUUUGCAUUGCUAAACAAAGAAGGUCAGGAUCCAGUUAAAGAGACAGAUGCCUGUUUGCCUCUGUUGCACAGUUAUUAGCUUGCUUCUCAGUCCUGUUUUGGGGUUUCCAGCUUCUUCCUGGGCUUGGGCUUCCUUGGGUUCAUCUGCUGCAGAGCAAUGGGAGACAACGUGUACACAGCACAGUCAUGAGCCUGUCAGUGUCAUUUGGUCAUGAGGUAUCUUAAUGUAUAGACAUAAAUUACAUGAUCAAACAAAGUAAGACCCUUGACAGAAUUUAUCAUACACCACCCUACAUGUGAAUUUUCCUUGUGGCAUUUCUCCUUCUGGUCAGAAGAGAUCUGUUGAGCCUCAUGGUGAGAACUUGAUGAAACAGCCUAAUGGUUCUCAGUCUUGUUCUGCAGUAUUAAUGACUAAAGGAAUAAAAUUGCCAUAUAGGUGUGAUUUUCACCAUUUUGUUGUCUUGCUACCUUCUCUCUGCUACAGUGUUUUUCAUGGGAGAAAAACACACAUUCAAGGACCAAGCUUGGUUCAUGAGAGUCCUUAUUAUUCAUAAUAAAGAAAAUAUAAGGACUGAUUUUUUUUAUUUUUUUUUUUUUUUUUUUGUGCAGUGAUGGUCAGAUUCUCAAGGUUUGGUUGCCAGUUUAAAGAUUAUUUCCAGGAGCACGUUACAUCUACACUAGAGAACAACAGAUGAAAAAGACCAUAGGUUGAAGAUAACCACACAACUGAACCUAUCCACGACUCUGAGUUUAUUUAAGUUACAUGUCCUUGUUAAUCUGUACUGUUUUAGCUUGAUGUUGUCACUCAGCAUAAGCACAACAAAGGAAUUAUGAAGCUGAGAAGGGAAAUUGCUCCUUGACAGAUUUCAUAACUUGCACGGUGUUCUGUGGUCUGAAAACAGUGAGAAGCAGGGUUCAAAGCACCCUUGGCAUCUGCUUUUUAGAAACACAGUCAACUGCAAUAAACACUCUUGCUACUUGUAGCUACAUGCAUGCAUUCAGGAAAAGAAAAGCUCUAAAAUAGAAGAACAUUAGCCCCCUUGGCUUUAGAUUCUUUUUCCUAAAGCACAAGAACUGUAACAUAAAAACAGUAACAGAACUCUCUAGUGAGACUGAGUAAAAUAAACAUCAAUAGAAAAAAGAAAAAUGCAAUGCCAUUCUGAGAUUAAAUAUUAGCACACGUACAUUUCUUUCAACAUACACUUCUCACUGGAUAUUUGUUAGCCUGUGGCAGCUGUAUGUGGAAGCACAAAUACAGCCAUGCCUUCUCACUUCUUUACACUGUCUACAGAAGUGGGAAUACACAACAGUUUUUUGUUUUGUUUUGUUUUGUUUUGUUUUGUUUUUCCACAGAAAUUUCCAUUGCUUUUGGUUUCUAUAGCACUGUCAAUUUAUUUCAAAACACAUGAAACUAAAUAGCCAUAGUAAAAUCUCAUUUUCACAUAAGUCAUAUUCAUAUAAAUUUCUGCUAUUUAAGAAGAAAAAUGUACCCGGUUCUCUUGUAAGUGGUAUGACUAGGAUAUCCUGCAGUCCAAGUUAGACUGUGGUCAGUCUUUGACAUACAUAGACUCUCAACAGUUCUUCCUAUUAAUUGAUACAGUAACUGAGAAACAGUAAUGAAUAUUCCAAUAAGUAGCUGAGAAAGAGAAAAGACAAAAAAUAAACACGACACACUUUCUAUCAUAUGAUCCAUAAAAAUGACAGAGAAUGGUUUGCUUAGUCAUCUGGUCUCUGUCAAAAUGCUUAUUACUGCAAAAGAAUUUAAAGAACCACACAACUGUGCCUUCUGCAUCAAAAAGAGGACAAAGCAUUUCAUGUGGUAGGUUUAUUUAAAAAUCAGAGAAAUAGAUUAGUCUGCCACAAAUCCCUUUAAGAAUAACCAUUAGGAAACAGAGGAAAAAAACAAAAGAAUUUGAACAAAAGUACACCUCUAUUAUUUUGCUUGUGGAUUUCAUUGGGUGUAGGUAUUUCUCAGAGAUUGCCGAUCAAUUAUAGUAGUAGUUAUCAGUGUAUCAUAAAAUCACAGUCAUACAAUCAUUUGUGCUGGAAGGUGUAGGUGUAGUGAAAAUGCUCAGUCAUGGCUUGAAAGAGUGACUGAGCACCUGGAGGAAGGCAGGGCCAACCCAGGGCAGUUCAGAUACAUGCAGGGCCCCUGAGUGACCGGAAUGGGUGGAGCCAGGAUCCACCUCUUCCCAGAUCUCAUUUAAGGGUUGGCAUUGAAGGUAAGGCUUUUGGGGAUUGCUAUAUAUCUGAGGCCUUCUGAAGGUAAGCAGUGUCUUUCCCUUAUUUUUUGUGCUCAUUGUUGUGUUUGAGUGAAUCCUAACUUGCUGUGGCCUGGAAUCUUGGUGCUCUCUGUCACUGUUGUGCUUACCAUUGUGUUACAGAAGGGACCCUUUAAAGGUCAUCUAGUCCAACUCCCCUGCAGUGAACAGGACCAUCUACAGCUAGAUCAGGUUCCUCAGGGUCCCAUCCAGCCUUUCCUUGAAUGCCUCUGGGGUCAGGGCUUCCACCACCUCUUUGGUCAACCUGUUCUAGUGCUUCAGUAUCCUUAUCACAAAAAACUUCCCUGUUAUAUUCUCUCUAGUUUGCAACCAUUUCCCCUUGUCCUAUCACAACAGAUUCUGCUAAAGAGUCUGCCCCCUUCUUUCUUAUAGUCGUCUUCUAGAUGCUGAAAGGCCCCUGUCACAUAUCCCCAGAGCCAUCUCUGUAAUAGACUAAACAGCUCUAACUCUCUCAGCCUGUUCUUGUUCCAUCCCUUGGAUCAUUUUGUGAUCCCGUCUCUUCUUCCACUGCUGGUCCAUUUUCUUCUUGUUCUCCAGAUUGACCAGUUAGUCUCACUCAGCCGUGCAAGACUUUUGCCUUCCUUUCCUGACUUCCUACACCUGGAGAUGGAGGGCUCUUGUGCCCUAAGAAAAGCUUCCUUAAAGAUCUUCCAGCUCUGUUCCUCUCCCUUUGUCCUUGAGGACAGAUUCCCAGAGGAUUUUGUUAAAUAACUUCCUGAAGAGCAUUCCGAGAUUGAGCAUCCUGGUUUUAAUUUUUCUCUCACAAAUCUCUCAAGAGUGUGAACUCCAUGAGUGCAUAGUCACCGCAGCCUGCAGGCAUCUUCCAAUCCUGAUGUCACCAGUCAGUUCACUUGGAUUGGUGAGUAACAGGUCCAGUAUUGUAUCCCCCUGGGGGAGCUGUCUAUCACUAGGCUCUAGAAGUUGUUCUUGAUGCAUUCCAGGAGCCUCCUGUGUUACCUACCACUAGCUAUAUGGCUUUUCCAGCAGAUGUCAGGGUGGUGGAAGUCCCCCAGCAGGAUGAGAGCUAGUGUUACUUCCUGUAGCUGGAGGAAGAAGGCUUUCAUCAACCGGCUCCACUUUAUCAGGUAACCUGUAGUAGAUCCCAACCACAUGGCUCUCUUCGUUGCUUCCGUCUCUAACUCUCACCCAUAAGCUUUUGACUUACUUGUGGCCAUUCUUCAAGAACAGCUCUUUACGCUAUUUUCUUCUUGAUGUAGAGAGUCACCAUAUAAGACUAUGUGUAAUUUGUUUCAUUAUGAAUUGAAUAAGUUUUAUUUACACACUUCAAAACUGUAACCACAGAUGAGGAAAAAAAAAACACUAUUUUAAAUUCCUUAGUGAAGUUGAACGGACUUUUUUCUGUUCAGCUCAGAAAUGUUAAGUUAAUGGGAUAUUACAUUGCUAUAAGAAAUAUGUAUUGGAUUUCAUUUUAGCAGCACUUAUGUUUAAGGAAAUCAUUGGUUAUGUUGUUCCUUAGUUAAUUUCAAACACAUGCUGUGAAUAGCUAAAUAUCAAGGAUUUGAAGUUUAUUUUAAUAAUAAUUUUUCAUUGGAGUCACUUCAUUGCUAUCAGAAUCUAUUUUCCUGGCUUAAUUUUUUGUUGUUACUGUUUACUUUUUAUUCUAUAACUUGUUCCUUUAUCUUAAUGAAAAAUGAGAGUUUGAGUCACUAUGAACAUUCUUAUUCCUAUAAAUUCAGCCACAGAAAAUAGUCAAAACUAACAGGAUUAUAGAUUAUAGUUUAACAAAAAUCCUGCUGAUGAAAAUGUAAUAAUAAACGUUUACAAUAAUAGUCAGAAAUUAGAAGUAUUUUAAAAACAUAUUAGAUUUUGAAUAUAAUGUUUAGAAGCAACAUUUAAGCACAAGAUUGGUGUGAAAGAGUAGGAUACAAACAAGUACAGGAAGCCUGAGAUUUGUAUCUCUUUGGAAAAAAAAGUAUUCUAAUUUGUUCAAAAUUGCAUCCUUUACAUUCCCUCUCACUUGGCAUCUUUCACUGGGAGACCACUUAUUGUGAAAGUUAGUUUACUCUCAUUUAUCUUGCUUGUAGUAUUGAAGUCCAAGAUGUUACUGAUGGUAUUUUAAAAAUUCCUAAAGUUGUAGUUGUCCUUUCAUCCAUUUUUUUCCCCCAAAAUGGAAAGCUAUUUUCUCAUUUUCUCUUAAUCAUUUUAAAAUAAAAUGUUUUAUUAAAAAAAAAAUUAAUAUAUUAAAAGAAAACUACUCCACCUAUUCUCUAGAAAACAUUUAAAUUUAGUAAUAUUUCUGUCCAAAUCCUUGCCCGAUUCAGCAUACUUUGUUCCAGUGGAGUGGAGAUGGAGAAAUAGAAAGUUUCUAAUGUACUUCCUUGAGUUGUUCAGGAUGCUGAGGUUUUUUGUUUGUUUGUUUGUUUGUUUUCUUCCAGAACGCUAUGAAUCAUGCAUAAUCAUUUAGCCUGUAGUUUAAAGUUUGUCUUGUAGUGUAUACUGUCAUAUGCUUCUCAAGCUUAUUGGAUCACCUGAAUUUUGUCAUUUCAGUUACUGUUGGAUCUCUCAAGAUGCAGAAUUUGAUUAAUUUCAAGUCAUUUUGGUUUGUGCAUAGUAUGAAAGUGGUUAGGACAAUAAAGGUGUAUAUAUAUGCUCCAGAGUGCACAGUGUAGUUGUCCCCUACCAUGAUUCCUGCAUGUUGCUGCAGGUAUCCAUUCAUGACUGCUUUCCUUCCACAGUGUGAUGCUGCAGUGCAGGACCAGAGGUUAAAAGGACAGCUUGUGGUAAUAUAAUCUGGUAAAAGACUAACUAAAAGACUUUUCUAAAGAAUGAUUUAGAAUUGCUUUUCUGAUUAUUUGGAGUGAUUUUACAGUAUUUGUCUUAUUCUUAGGCUUGUUGAUUUGAAGUGAGUCUUCCACAGAGUAAAAUAUCCUUUAAGUAUCUGUCUUUAUGUAUGACAGCAAAAGAAACCAAGAAAGAAAAAAAAAAUGGAAUGUCUAGAUAACUUUCAAAUAAUAUAAGGUGAGGCCAUUCAUAAGUUUGAACGUCAAGUUUAACAGUAUUUCUUUUAUGAUUUUUAGUUAAUAGGAAAGAAAACUCAGUCUCAAUCACACACUGAAGCGAUGAGCUUUUCUGAGUGGGAAGCUCUUCCCAUUGGCAUAGGUAAAUAAUAAAUGUUUUUUGAAUAAAAAAUUCAGAGAGAAUGGUUAAAGUCUCCAGAGAAUAGAGAAUGAUGUAAGCUUGAAUGUGUUCUAUAUAAAUUCUCCAGUGGAACAUACAAUAACCUGCAUUAUCUUUAAUAGCUUUAAGUGAAUUCAACUUGGGGUUUCUGGAAUACUUAUGUCAGCAGCAUAGACCAAAGCAACAGAUAAUGGAUCAAUACAAAAAUAGAAUAAGUAAUACUGAAUCAUUGUCAAACUUCUUACUGCCUUUAGAUCUCAUUUACUGUUUUUCUUUGGAACCUUGAUUGAGCAUCCACUGUAAUGGGGUGUGCAUCGGGGGGGAGGGGGGGCUAAAGAGUAGUGCAUAAGUGAAAGAAAAUGGGUUUCUUUGUUUCUUUUCCUUUUUCUUCCCUUCUCCUUCUAUUUUACUGUCAUUUCUUUAUUACUAUCGAAACGUUAGACAGUUUAAAGAAAGUUGAAAUGUUUUCAUGGAGUAUUCAUAGCAUAGCAACAACAUUUGUUUAGGGGUCUAAAAAUAUUUUUAAAAUGCAUACUUGGAAUUUUGUACUAAAAGUUGAAGAGCAAGAGAACAUAUGGUCAGGCAGUUUGUGAGUCUUCAGGCUGUUAACAGUGCUAAAAUUGCAUAUGGAAUUAAAUCGUCCACAGAAAAAAUCUCACUAAACAUUUAGAAUUUGCAAACAAUGAAUACUUGUAAGAGUCCUUGAUUCAGAGUAGAAUAAUAAAGCUGGAAACAGAUUGUUAAAUAAUUAUAAAAUUUUGAGGCCGACUUAUUUAUCAUGGUGAUGUAAAUCAAACAGUCAAUUUAGUUGCCCUCCCACUUUUUUGAAAAAUGGCAAAUCAUUAGGCGCUGACUAGUAGUUAUUCUACCACUACAGCUGAUGCAGUAGGAUUAUUUCAUAGCAUAUUUUCCACUUCCUUUCUGCUUUGAAUAUUUGAAGUGUCAGAGAAGGGAAAACAAAUGUACUGUGGCAGAGCUUAGGAAUUCUGGAUGCUGGCUCAGAUUCUGUGUGAUCUUGAACAAAUAAUCUAAAAUUCUUUGUCUGUGAAAUUGCACAAUCAUACAUUUCAGUGUAGAAUGAUGCUAUUUGCUGAUUUGGCUGCAUGGUAAUGAAGAAUUACACUGAUUUCUUUACAGAUGAAAGAUAUUUUACUAGAGUGCUGUGAUUCUGGAACAUUUCUUCAAGUUCAAAAACAUACUAAGAAAUUUAGGAGGGUUAUUUAAGUAGGAAAUAAGCUUUUAUUUAUAUCUUUUUCUGAUGAACUUCAUUUGACACUGUUAAUUUUAUUAUUAGUUUAUUAUUUUUAUUAAUUUUAUUGUUAUUAUUACCACCAUCAAAUCAGUUACUACUAUGAACAGUCAUCAAAUUUAGGAGAGAAUUACCUCGCUGAAUGAUUGCAUCAAUGGGCCAAUAUCACAUUUUGGAAUCAAUGCUUCUAUUUAACUUAAGGUCUGGUCAGUGCUAGAAAGUGUUGUGAUCUUUCAUUAUUCUGCAUUAGGAGUGUUAAUAUGCUUUGAUUUGUUUCUGGGGAAGAUGGCUGAUAAAAGUAACUUUCAUUUAAACAGGUUAGUAAAUAUAUGAGAAAAUUCACUUUCAUUCUAAGGCCUGAAAUGGUUGUAGGCUGUGGUUUCCUUUUGGGGCGAUCUAGAACAAGAAGUGAAAUGGCGAAUUUGGGCAUUGCUAAUGAAUAUUAAUACAGCUAGGAAACAGGAGGAAAGUGGUUUGUACUUAUGGCAACCAGAAGAUAUAAACAACUAUAAUGUUGCUCUGUAGUAACAAAUGGCAGUGUGUUAAAACAUCUACAGAUAUUUUGAAAUAGUAAAGACUACCUAAAAACUGUUCAUCUUGUUCUUCAAUUAUGCAUUUAUUUCAAUAUCUCUGCUUAGACCAGUGGUUUCCUUUUGCUAACCCCACAAGAAGAUGCGAAGCCACACAAGCAGAAACUUUCAAUUCAUAAUGUCAUUCUUUUGCCUUUCUUCUUUCCUCCUUUUCAUGAUCUGUUCUCCCUUUUAAGUCAUUGCAUCAUCACUCCUAUCAGAUAGCUUAUUCCUUGCAACAACUCCUGAAAUGCAUGACUUUCAGCAGUUUUUUUUACAAAAGUAAACUUCUAUUUUUAAACUUUUUUUUCUUCCCCUUUUUCUUUCUUGUCAUUUUACUAUAGUGUGAAAUAGAGUAGAAAGAUGAAUAGCCAUUUAUAGGCACUCAUCAGAUAUGGCAAUUUAACUACUGUCUGAACAUCAGGAACAGUGGUAUUAAGGAAAAAACAAACAAACAACAACAACAGCAAAAGAAGAACAACAGCAAAAGCUGCACGCACACACACACACACACACACAAAACCCUAAGGAACAAACAACCCAAAACCCACAUGGUUCACUUUACUCUGGAGAGAUUUCUAAACAAGUUCUUUGCAAAGCAGUGGUCAUAACUUGAAGGAACACUUUGAUUAGACCAAAGUAGAGUACCCAUUAGGAAUUCCAUCUUAUCUUCUGUUUUUAUGAAUGAUUAUACAGUGCAACUGUGAUGUGACACAACUUUUUUCCUCUUAUCAAAGAGAAUCUAGGGGAACCAAGUCAGGCACUUCCUUUUCUUUUGUAGUAUAUUUUAAACUUGUCAAUUUUUUUUUGUUUUUAAAUUAUUAAGGGAUAUAUUUGAUUACAUUUAGUGAACUAAAUAAUCAACUUGAGAAACAGCAAAACAAACACUACAUGGAGCAUACACCAGGCAUAUGUGUACUAUAGGAAAGUCCCUCUAGUUUUUAGUAAUAGAAUAUGGAAAGACAGGUUAGAACCUAGCUGGAAAAAAUACAACUUGAAAGAAAAAUAUAAGAAUACUUCAGAAAUCAAACAGUCUUUUCCAUGUAUGAUGAUCUGAUUGACAGUUAAUAUUAGACCAAUGAAGGCACGAAAAUCAUAACCACAGUUUCACUGCUAUAUUGAUCUUGAAGGUCUUUUCCAAACUUACCAAUGCUGUGAUUCUAUGAUUCACAAUGACUCCACUGCACAGAAAAGUAAUCAAGGUGCAUAUGCAGUACUGUAAAAAAGUGUUAAAAUAAGAUAACGGAUGCUCAAUUAGUACAUGUACUCAAAAUUUAUGGAAAAGGAAAGAACAAGUUUUGAGAGGAGGUACUCAAAAUUCUUUCUCCCAUUUGUUGUCAUGAUCAUUUUACAUGAAAUAUUGCAUUGGAAUAUAUGCUGCAGAUUUUAUAAAUCUGGGAAUAUUUUUGAUGUUACAGAUUAGUAGCGUGGCCUUUGACAGGAUAUGGAGAUUAUUGAGAAACUGAUCUCUUUCUCUAUCUGCUGUGCAUAACUAGAGAGCUACAGAACAUCAAAGCUAUCUGUAAUCGCAACUCCACCUGGAAGCUGGAUCUGUUGAAAGAAAGAGAAAGAACAAUAUGGUGAAGCACUGAGAAGAAAUGAAGACAUUCAACCUGUAAAUAGCAGAGUCCUUUCUUUCUCAUUUGUCAGGAAGGGAAUAAUCAGCAUAAAUUACACUCCUGGACUUAGUAUUUAUUUCCUUUUUAUUUUUAUAUAAUUCACAUGCAAUGUGCAAUACAGAAAAGGAGGAAAUUAAAACAUGAGCACAUAUUGUAGCUUAAAUGUCUCCAGAAUAAACUUAGGUUUUGUUAACAAAAAACACCUUGGAAACAAAAUCAUCAUGUGAUACAUAAAUAAAUAGAGAAUUUGGGGAUUCAUUUAAAAAAAAAAAAUUUAAAAUUUUUAAAUUCUGCAGGACUAUUCUGAAAUGAACAGUUAAUGGAGAUGCAGCUAAUGACUCCUGUCAUCACCUCACUUGGAGCACAUGCUACAUAAAAUAUAUUGUGCUAACAAAACUAUGAUAAUUGUCAAAGAAAAAUUAUCAUCUUUUUCAGAAGAAGAUAAUAGUAUGAGGAACCAGUUAACAAAAUGCAUUCCAUUUUCAAAUACUGGAGACAGGAUGUGGCCUAGAAGACAAAUAGUAUCUUAAAGAAAUAACAGUGUUUUGCAAAUAAGACUGAUUUUUGAAGAACCUUGAAUACAGUGUCAAAUGAAAACAACAUAAUACAAUACUUUUAAUCUUUGCCAGCAUGGUAAAUUAUGAACCCCGCUGUCAUUGUUCCAAAGAUAAGGGGGAUACAUCAAAAAGAGUUUUACACUGAAUGGUAAGCAUGGUUUAACUUAAAACUUUAUGGCUUUCUGCAGCCUGUACACUGAACUUGUGGAAUAGAUCCAUUCACAUUACUAAAGGUAAACAGAAUGUACUUAAUUCUGGAACUGACAGGGAGUUGAAGCAUGCUGGGUAGUUUCUGGACUGGCCACUCACGGUUGGAUUAGGUGAGAGUUUGUAAUCAGAGUGUACCAGCAAAGUAUAAACAUUGCAGAGGUAGCAUCUGCCUCUAUUUUAGUGUUGACUCAUAUUCUCUUAAUGUUAAGCUUCAAUUCCAAUUGCUUACCUUAGCUGUGUAUUAGAUUUAUCUGGAAAUCAAGAGAAAAUAAAUGGCCAAUAGUUCAAACAAGAUGGCCAGAAAAAGAACCCAAAUCAUUAUUUCAUCAAAGGAACACAUUUUCGUGUAUCUGGAAUGGGGCCCAGUUGAAAGCAAACAGCAGCUGGGUAAUUCUGCCACAAAUAACUCACUAGCACCUGGGAUCUACCAAACAUUUGUAAAACUGAUAGUAAGAAGAGACAGUUAAAAGAGAAAGGUGAGCAGAAAAGAUAUGCUGGAACGGACACUGAAAUAAUUUGUGAGGAUAUUCCAACUUAAUACAAAUGACAGUGAAAGCAAUUUCUGAUUAGCUAAAUGAUCCAUGCUCUUUUUUCUGGGUUGUAGCUUCUAGACAUCUGCGUGGUGGAACUAAAUGCAUGGAUAGUUCUGCUAGUGGCCAGCAGUAGUAGAAGGCAAGUCACAGGUCAAAAACUUACACCUGAUUUCCAAAUGAAAGUCAAGAGCCAAAUUCAGGAAAGGAAAAGACAUGGCAGUUAUUCAGUUAUUAGGAACACAAGCCAGGAAUAAAGAGCUGGGCAGAGGAAAUAAACAAGAGAAAAAAUCAAAGUUAAAUGAUGUGAAAAAGAGACAAGCAUAGAAGUACCAAAAAAAAUAAAAAUAAAAAAAAUGGAAAGAAAAAAUGAGAAAACAGAAAAAAAAAAAAAAAGGGAAAGGAGAAGAAAAAGGAGAAACAAUAGAAGAGGAAAAAAAAAAAAGGAAAAGAGAAAAUGGAAAGAGAAAAAAAAGAAAAAUGUAAAUAUGAAAAAAAGGAAAGAAAAUCUUCAG
rnacentral:lncRNA from 1 species